rnacentral:rRNA from 1 species
AUUGAACGCUAGCGGCAUGCUUUACACAUGCAAGUCGAACGAGUGGCGGACGGGUGAGUAAUAUAUCGGAACCUGCCCAGUAGCGGGGGAUAACUACUCGAAAGAGUGGCUAAUACCGCAUACUAUUUGAUCUGCCCAUAUCGGAUUAGCUAGUUGGUGGGGUAAAGGCUCACCAAGGCGACGAUCCGUAGCUGGUUUGAGAGGACGACCAGCCACACUGGGACUGAGACAAGGCCCAGACUCCUACGGGAGGCAGCAGUGGGGAAUGUUGGACAAUGGGGGAAAGCCUGAUCCAGCCAUGCCGCGUGUAUGAGAAGGCCUUCGGGUUGUAAAGUACUUUUGGCAGAGAAGCGGUAUCUGCAGAAUAAGCACCGGCUAACUACGUGCCAGCAGCCGCGGUAAUUC